rnacentral:rRNA from 1 species
GAACGGUAGCACAGAGAGCUUGCUCUCGGGUGACGAGUGGCGGACGGGUGAGUAAUGUCUGGGAAACUGCCCGAUGGAGGGGGAUAGCUACUGGAAACGGUAGCUAAUACCGCAUAACGUCUUCGGACCAAAGUGGGGGACCUUCGGGCCUCACACCAUCGGAUGUGCCCAGAUGGGAUUAGCUAGUAGGUGGGGUAAUGGCUCACCUAGGCGACGAUCCCUAGCUGGUCUGAGAGGAUGACCAGCCACACUGGAACUGAGACACGGUCCAGACUCCUACGGGAGGCAGCAGUGGGGAAUAUUGCACAAUGGGCGCAAGCCUGAUGCAGCCAUGCCGCGUGUAUGAAGAAGGCCUUCGGGUUGUAAAGUACUUUCAGCGGGGAGGAAGGCGGUGGAGUUAAUAACUUCACCGAUUGACGUUACCCGCAGAAGAAGCACCGGCUAACUCCGUG